rnacentral:rRNA from 1 species
UACGGGGGGGGCAAGCGUUGUUCGGAAUUACUGGGCGUAAAGGGCCAGUAGGCGGCCAACUAAGUCCGACGUGAAAUCCCCGAGCUCAACUCGGGAACUGCGUCCGAUACUGGCGGGCUUGAAUCCGGGAGAGGGAUGCGGAAUUCCAGGUGUAGCGGUGAAAUGCGUAGAUAUCUGGAGGAACACCGGUGGCGAAGGCGGCAUCCUGGACCGGCAUUGACGCUGAGGCGCGAAAGCUAGGGGAGCAAACGGG